GACGUAGGGCGCGAGCGUUGUCCGGAUUUAUUGGGCGUAAAGAGCUCGUAGGCGGUUUGUCGCGUCUGCCGUGAAAGCCCAGGGCUUAACCCUGGGUCUGCGGUGGGUACGGGCAGACUAGAGUGUGGUAGGGGAGACUGGAAUUCCUGGUGUAGCGGUGAAAUGCGCAGAUAUCAGGAGGAACACCGAUGGCGAAGGCAGGUCUCUGGGCAUUAACUGACGCUGAGGAGCGAAAGCAUGGGGAGCGAACAGG
rnacentral:rRNA from 1 species